UAUCACCAUUAAGCGUGUCAGAAAGAAGUGGGAAAUGGGAAAACACCCAAAUCCAUUACUAGCAAAAAAUGUGUAGGGAACAAGAGACCUAAAAGGAGGCAACAGAUUCUUUUUGCAUGGAUGAAAUCAUGAGCUUCUCCCUAUCACCUCCUGCAACUCUUUUGAUCAAACCUCCAAGAUUUUUCCCAAGAAAUGACACAUCUGAUCUGAUUGGAGUUUGUACAGGUCUAUUUAUUUGCUCUCCCGGAAAAGAGAAUGUAUUUUGAGACGUCAAAAUAUUUUGUUUGCCUUCAUUUGAUUG